rnacentral:rRNA from 1 species
ACGCGUUAAGUAUUCCGCCUGGGGAGUACGGCCGCAAGGCUAAAACUCAAAGAAAUUGACGGGGGCCCGCACGAGCGGUGGAGCAUGUGGUUUAAUUCGAUGCAACGCGCAGAACCUCACCUGGGCUUGAAAUCCUCGGACCGCUAUAGAGAUAUAGUUUUCCACUUCGGUGGACUGAGUGACAGGUGCUGCAUGGCUGUCGUCAGCUCGUGUCGUGAGAUGUCAGGUUAAGUCCUAUAACGAGCGCAACCCUUGUUGCUAGUUGCCAGCAUUAAGUUGGGCACUCUAGUGAGACUGCCGGUGUCAAACCGGAGGAAGGUGGGGAUGACGUCAAGUCCUCAUGGCCCUUAUGCCCAGGGCUACACACGUGCUACAAUGAUCGGUACAAAGAGCAGCUAACUCGCGAGAGCAUGCAAAUCUCAAAAAACCGACCUCAGUACGGAUUGGAGUCUGCAACUCGACUCCAUGAAGGUGGAAUCGCUAGUAAUCGUAGAUCAGCAUGCUACGGUGAAUACGUUCCCGGGCCUUGUACACACCGCCCGUCACACCAUGGGAGUUGACUACUCCAGAAGUCGUUGAGCUAACCCGCAAGGGAGGCAGGCGCCCAAGGAGUGGUUGGUAACUGGGGUGAAGUCGUAACAAGGUAGCCG